UGAAGGGCAGAGGGAGAGAGAGAAUUCCAAGCAGACUCCCAACUGAGUGAAGAGCCUGACAUGGGGCUUGAUCCCACGACCCUCAGAUCAUGACCAGGGCCAAAGUCAAAAGUCGGACACUUAACUGAGCGAGUACUCCAUCUGCUUUUAAACACAUCUUAUGAAGCCUUAAUUUUAAGUGUUAUACCUUUUAGUCCUAAAAUAACAAUAUCUUUUUUAAGCUUUCAUACAUCUCAGAUAUAAUCCUCCAGACUAAGAGGUUGGAGAAAAGGGCCAUUCAGAAAUAUUGACUAAUCAGAAAGGUUCCUUUGUCCCAUUUAGUGACCAUCUCUGUAGCACUUUUUGCCAUGGUGGUAUGCCUGAUUUCAGGAGUGUUUGCCACAAUAUCUGUUAAGUUUUCACUUUGACCAUAUUUUCAUUUAAGAAAGGCCUCCCCUAAAAAUAGGAACAGUUAUUGGCAUCCUAGUCUACCCACCUUUCUGGAGGCUUCUGCCAUUCCAACCAAGUACCAACUGUGUAAGCACUCUCACACUGAAGCACUGAAUAAUGCAUGUAGAGGAAUGAUAGCAAUUUAAUAGAAUAUGAUUUUCAUCUAUUUUCCAGACAUGGUUUCUUUGGCCACAGAAGAGAAUAGUAAUAAUUUUUUAUUGGAUUGGCAAUUUUAUAGAUUAACGUUGUAUGCUGUAUUUCUACCUCUCACCAUCAGAUUAGCACCCAUACACGCAGGGUUAAAAAAAAAAAAGUAUAGUCAGAAGUUGAAACCAAUGACUUGUUUGAGUAGAGUCAUGACUGAUGAAAUGAUCAUUGGAUUAUGUGUUGGGCUGGUUACACCCCCCCUGUUCCUCUAUCUUAACAGCAACAACAAAAAGCCCAAAACAUUCCGUAAGAGACUAGUUUGACUUAUAUUGCAAUUCUGAUGCUAAUCACCCAGAGUGUGGGGCACAGCCCUCAACAAGACUCCUCUCAUGUCCAUUGCCAGUUGCAAGUUUAGGGGUCCCUCCUAAGUUACUUGCACUUCCAACCAACUGGCUACAAAUUCAGAGGUGCUCCUAGGACCUCCUUCAGUUUCAGUAAUUCACUAGAAUGACUCACAAAACUCAGGAAAGUGCUAUACUUAUUAGUACAGUUUUAUUCUAAAGGACACAAAUCAAGACCAGUCAGUGAAGAAACACAUAGCGUGAGGUUCCAACACAGAGAUUCUGUGCCCUCUCCCUGUGGAAUUAGGUUGCAUCACCCCCACAGCACAUGGAUAUGCUCAGCAACCAGGAUGCUCACCAGAGCUUCAGUGUUCAGUUUUUACUGGAAUUUCAUUACAUAGGUGUGAUUGAUUGAAUCACGUGAAUGAACUCAAUGUCUAUUCCCCCUUCCCUAUCUCCCAGAGAUAGGGAGGUUGGGCUGAUAUCAUGUGGCUCAACCAGCCCCCAACCAGGUCAUCUCCUUAGCAUAAACUCAGGUAUGGUCCGAUGGCCCUUCAUGAAUAAGACACUCUUACCACUCAGGAAUUUCCAAGGGUUUAAAAGCUUUAUCUCAGGAACCCAGAACAAGGAUGAAACAAAUUCUCUAUUAUAUGACAUUUAAGAAAUAACACUAUAUAUCAAAUAUUAUAGGAUAUUGUCAAUACUAUAUUCAUAGCCUUAAAUGCUUUUCUUUUUUAUAAAAGAAAGUAAAUGAAGUAAAAGAUUCAUUUAAAGAAGUGAGAAAAAAGAAUAAGGUAAUUAAUCUUAGUAGAUAUCUUAAUAGGAUAAAGAAAUGACAAAUUAAGAGGACACAAUGAAUUAGGAGAGAAAUUUAUUAGAGUAAAAUAUCAAAUGAGUCUCUGAAAAACAGCAACAAUAUAGAACAAACUUCCAGUAGCUUUAAUCAAGAAGAAAGAAUACCCAUCUGAACUAAAAUAUAAAUAAAAAUGUGGGGCAUAAAAACAGAUACAGGAAAUUUUUAAAUUGUUAACACAUGCUCUGUAGAGCUCAACUGAGAACUACAGAUGAAAUGUGUGGAUUUUUUUUUCACUGAAGUAUAGUUGACAUACACUAUUAACAUCAGUUUCAGGUACAUAACAUAGUGAUUCGACAAUUACAUACAUUACAAAAUGCUCACCAAGGUUAAGUACAGUUACCAUCUGUCAUGAUACAAAAUUAUUACAGUACUAUGGACUAUAGUCCCCAAGCUGGACUUUUCAUCCCUGUGACUUAUUUUAUAAAUGGAAGUGUUCAGUUCUUAAUCCCCUUCACCUCUUUCAUUCAUCCUCCCAUCCCCCUCUGCGCUGGCAACCACCCGUUUAUUCCCUAUUUUUAUGAGUCUGAUUCUAUCUUUUGCUUGUUUAUUCAUUUGUUUUGUUUUUUAGAUUCCACAGAUAAGUGAGAUCAUAUGGUGUUUGUCUUUAUCUGACUUACUUCAUUUUAGCAUAAUACCCUCUAGUUCCAUGCAUGUUGUUGUGAAUGACAAGAUGUCAUUCUUUUUUAUGACUAAGUAAUAUUCCUGUGUUUUGGGGGUGGGUGUGUGUACACACCACAUCUUUAUUCAUUUCUCUGUCAGUGGACACUUGGGUUGCUUCCAUAUCUCGGCUAUUGUAAAUAAUGCUGCAAUAAACAUAGGGGUGCAUGUAUCUUUUUAAAUUAGUGUUUUCAUUUUCUUUAGGUAAAUAUCCAGAAGUGGAAUUACUGGAUUAUAUGAUAUUUCCAUUUUUAACUUUUGAGGAACUCCCAUACUGUUUUCCAUAGUGGCUGCACCAAUUUACAUUCCUUCCAACAGUGCAGAAGUGUUCCUUUUUCUCCACAUCCUCCCCAAUACCUGUCUUCUUGAUUCCAGCCAUUCUGACUGGUUUGAGGUGAUGUAUCAUUGUGGUUUUGAUCUGCAUUUCCCUGAUGAUUAGGGAUGUUGAGCAUCUUUUCAUGUGUCUGUCGGCCAUCUGUUUGUCUUCUUUGGAAAAAUGUCUCAUUAGGUCCUCUGCCCAUUUUUAAUUGAAUUAUUUAUUUUUUGGUGUUGAGUUAUUUGUAUAUUUUGGAUAUUAACCCCUUAUUGGAUAUAUGAUUUGCAAAUAUCUUCUCCCAUUCAGUAGGCUGCCUUUUUGUUGAAAUGUAUGAUUUCUGUAGAAAACAUUAAAUUAUCAAAAUUGCUAUAAGAAAAUCUUUAAAAAAAAAGAACUUUUUUUUUUUUUUAAGAUUUUAUUUAUUUAUUUGGCAGAGAGAGACACAGCGAGAGAGGGAACACAAGCAGGGGGAGUGGGAGAGAGAGAGAAGCAGGCUUCCUGUGGAGCAGGGAGCCCGAUGCGGGGCUCGAUCCCAGGACCCUGGGAUCAUGACCUGAGCCGAAGGCAGACGCUUAACGACUGAGCCACCCAGGUGCCCCAAAAAGAACUUAUUUUUAAAAAUGAUCUCCACACCCAGCAUGAGGCUCAAACUUAGAACUCUGAGAUCAGGAGUUGCAUGCUCUACCAACUGAGCCAGCCAGGACCCCAAGAAGAUCUUAAUAUCUGAAUAGACUAAUAUGCAUAGAGAAAACUUUAGAAAUUAUUCAUAGUUUCCUCUCAAAAAUAACCCUGGACCUGGAGAGUGUCAUGAGUGAAUUCCUUCAAACCUCCAACAAUUCAUAUGCCAUAUACAUAGAUUUAAUAUUUGCAAAACUAACACAACAGGGACAUCAAAUCCUGUCAAGGUAGAGGAUAACAUAAAGGAAGGAAAUAUAUAAACCAAUUUUACCUAAGAAAAUAGAUGUGGAAACAUCAAGCAAAUUACUGACAAAAUGAAUUUAAUAGGAUAUUAAAAGAAUAAAAUGUAGCUUUCACUUUGAUCAGUAUGAAAAAUUAGAUUCUUUAAAGGUCCCUCCAGUUUAAGACAAAACAGAACCUGCCUGAAACAUAUUGAUUUUUUGAAUUAUAUUGCUAACCUACAAGACAUAACAGAAAUCUUCCAGACGUGUUGGGGGUGGUGAGGGCAGGAGUCUAACGAAGUGAGGGCCCUAAGCAUUCAGAGAAGGCUGGGCUGCCUGGGUGUGGGGAGUGGUUAAGCCAACAUCACUCAUCCAUUCAAGUAUUUAUUCAACAAAUAUUUAAGGGGUAUUGCUGCUUGCUGGGCUCUUUUCUAGUUACGACAGACACAGCAAUCAACAACACGCAUGAAAUCUCGGAGCUCCUGCCCUCAUCUGGAGCUAUAAGAAUCUGUAGUAGAGGAGAUAGGCAAUAGGAUAAAUUAAUAAGUAUAAUAAGGUUUUAGAUGGUGCUAAGUGCUAUGGAGAAAAACCACGCAUGGAAGAGGACAAAGUAUAUUGGGUGGGUUAUAAUUUUAGAUCGGGUAGUUGGGGGAAUGCCUCACUGAGAAGACUGGCAGAUGAGGGAAGAGCAUUCGGGCAGAGAGAAACACACACUAUAAAGUUCAUGUGGUGGGAGUGUUCUUUAUGAACAGUGAGGAGACCAGUAUGGCUGAAGAGGAGUGAGUGAGGAAAAGAAUAACAUACAGUAUGAUGAAUUAAAUGUAGAUAUAUUGAUGACACCAAAAUUUGGAAAAAAAUAAUUAGAAUCAUAGAAUAAAAAUUAGAAUAAUACAAUUAGAAAUUGCAGUAAAGCCCAGGAAGCAGGGCUCCUUUUUGUAGGGAGAGCUCCUCCUUGCUCUUCUCUGAUUUUCUCCUUAGUUUGUGUGUAUUCCUCUGAAGCAUGCUUCCUUCAGGCUGAUCAAAGGGUCUGAGUGGUUGGGUUGGCUGUAAUUGCAUUUAGGAAAGGAAAGGAAAGGGGUGCCUGGGUGGCUUAGUCAGUUGAGCGUCUCAGGUCAUGAACCCGGGGUCCUCGGAUCGAGCCCCUUGUUGGGCUCCCUGCUCAGUGGGGAGUCUGCUUCUCCCUCUGCCUCUCCUCCCUGCGCAUGCACUCUCUCUCUCUCUCUCUUUCUCAUUCUCUCUCAAAUAAAUAAAAAAUAAAAGAAAGGAAAGAAUGGAGCAGACACAUGUGACAUCGCCACCAGCGUAUACAUCCUGUCCUGAAUCAUGAAGUUAGGUUUAGCUUAAAAACCGAGUUGAAAACGUGCCCAGGUAGCUGCUCACACACUUACCAAGGUGUAAACCUCAGUCUGAAGGCUGAUGACUGCAGGUAUUCUUCCUGUCCUCACAGGUGGGUUGGACACACCAUUGGUCUGAGGGGUGUUAGGGGCCUGUUCCUUGUAUAUUUGUUGAAUCCUAUUGUACAUCUGAAACUCAUAUAACACUGUAUAUUAACUAUACUUAGAUUUUAAAAAGAAUGAAAGCCCAAGGACAUUCCUCAAAAGUUACCAGUUGUGGCUUGCUCCUUCCCUGGCAUAAGCCAUAAACAGCAUUAUCCAUCCCCCCCAAUGCAAGGGUGACUUGAACACAUCACAUUACCAGUGACUUUCAGAGUCGCAGGCCUACUGACUCCCUGGCAUUGUAAGGUGGCCCACGAGAAGCCACUGGGGCUUGAGGACUCCAGGAAAAGGCCAUUUUAUCAAGGCAUCAGCAAGUGAGGAAUUCUUCAAAGAAUGGAUCAUCCACAGGCUUGCUUUCUACAUCUGUCCAAUCUCCUCUCCCCAUACUCUCCGACCUUUCUCCCAUCUUAGAAUGCACUGAGGGUCCCCCGAGUCUCGCUCUGGGGAGCAGGGGUGGGGAGGGGGCCUUUGUGGCUGGCCGGCUGAGAGGCUUCUGCUCACUUCAGAGGUGAAAAGGGGGCAUCCCUUGGGGCUGCAUCCCAGCCUGUGUGAGGGAGGGAGGUUUGUAUCUGAGUUAUCCAAGACAAGAUCCUGGAGUGCUGGAACAGGAGGCCCUGAAGUCUGACUCUUUAUCCUCCUCCCAGAGAGUUCUGAACAAAAGAAUAAUUCCUGUUACAUUUAGAUGCCGAUUAUCAGGGAGGGGGUCGUAAGAGAUGAGGGUGGAGGGAACAUUCUUAGUAAUCGGAGUAUUUGGCUGAUUGGUAACUGUUUACAGCUUGUUUCUUUCUAGUGCAUACCCCUUGAAAUCAUUUUCUUUGUAAAUGUUAAAAGCCAUAUGAAAAAAAAAAAAACAACCUUGAUUACUCUUCUUUGUAUUUCAAUCAGCAGCGUGUCAGCCUCUGAAUAAACUAUAAUUCCUUCACUGUGCCUGUUGAGGAGAACAUUUAGACCACAUUUAAAAAAUGUGGUAGGGGUCUCAAGAACAAUUAGCAAUUAAAAUAAUCUAUUUUCUACGCUUCCAUAUAAACACGGCCGCUUGAUUGAGUUCACAGUCUCAGGCACGGCUUUGCUCAGGAGCCCCAUCUUGCCCAGUUCCAAGCUGCUGGAAUCACCGGAGGCAUCUUAAAUGUUGGGAGACAGCGCCCCGUGCUCCCAAAUCUGUUAGCGCGUCAGUCCGUUUAGAACUGAACUUGAUGCCUUUUCCAGAGAAUAUGCUUCUAGGGCUCACCAGGACUCCCCUCAAGCCCUCCCACCCCCGCCCCAGAGCCUGGCUUCGCCCACAGAUGCUAGUCCGGUGGGGUCAGUCCCAGAGUAACAGACUCCCAGCACCAAGCCUUGCUACACAAAGAAGAGAAUGAAAAGUCGCUGGGUCCAACCCCGGUGCAUUUUUACAGAUAAACAACCUGAAUCCCAGCGAGACUAAACUAGCUAGUGAUGGCCGUGGCAUCCAAGGUUCCUGAACCUCAUGCCAGUUGCCCCCCGCCCCGGGGGGUGGUCUUUGUGGGUGGAAAUUGGCUUAGGUGGUUUCUCUCGUGGAAAAAGCAAGGUGUUCGCUUUGCACAACAGUUCAGGUGUGAUCCUGAUUUCAGGCAGAGGAAUAGACUUGAGGACUUCUCAAGGCCAAGGUCAGGCCCUAGAGUCUGAGAGCUGCAGAAAAUGUGGUAGGGCUCUGUAUAAGUGCGUGGCCAUCCUGCAUGGCCUCCUUGCCCGCCCUCUGCAACCUUCCUGGAGCCCGCACACUGAGGCCUGCAGCAGGGCCAGCCCUUGCUGAGGUGGGAGAGGGGCCACCUCCCUGGUCAGGGGGCACCAGCUCUCAUACCCUCAUGGGCAGCUGAUGCUGUGAUUUUGCAGUCCCAGUCCCUCUCGCCUCACCCUUGUCCCUGCAAGUACUCCACGGGUGUAGGACCAGGGGAUGCCAAUGGCAAGGGGCAGGGUGACCUGGGCAGAAGACUGACACUGAGAAGAGUCAGCAAGACAAGGUGCAGCAGAGGAGAAACAUCCCCAACGGGAGCUAAGCCAUCGCACCUGGGCCUGGAGUCUAGGUCAGGAAUGGAAGGGAGGGUCCCCUUGUAGAGCCCCUUGGGUGACCAUUUCCACCUUACCUAAGACAUCCGUCAUCCCUGGAGCCUAGGCUCAGCUGUCAUUCCAGGAUCAGAAUAAUGACUGCAUGGUAAGAACCCUCCCUGGGGCCUCCUCCCUCGGGCAAUCCAGCAGGCAGGGCUGGGAGGAACAGACAGAGGGUCCCCCAUUGCCAACACGCAUUGAGACAUGGUUACCGCGUGACCCUCUACAAAAUAUCUUCAGUGGGCUGGUGAGACCUAGACUAAACUCAGUUCAGCGACACUUCCAGAAUGUCUGAGCUAAGCCUCACAGGGCUUUGCCAUGAACAGCAAGCCCCCAGAGUCCAGGGACCCCCCCCGCCCCCCCGCCAACCACCACCAAUCAGGAUGCAUUUAACAAAAGUGGCUUGGGCUCAUUCUAAAACUAACAGGUUGAUAGUUUAUGACACAGAAUAACCAAUUAAUGAAAAUGAUAGUAAUAAAGCAAUAAAUAGUAAAAAAAAAAAAAAUUAACCUUUUAUAAGCCUUUAAGCAUUUUUUCACUUCUUUGAUUUUUUUUUUUUUGAAAUGUAGGAGUGCUUGCAUGAGAAUUGCAAUAUUUAUGAGUCCUAGGACUAUUUUAUGAAUUUAUGUAUUUUUUUUUCUUUAGGAAAUUGUUUCCAAAGUGGGGCAUUUUUUCCUAAUUCAUUUCAAUCAGUAUGCUUACUCUUGCUUGCUUAACAAUGCUUUCUGUGAAUUUAAAAUCUCCUCUUCGGUUCUAAGUAAAUCUCUGAAAGGCUGUUGAUCAAAACUAAUCUUUCAUAUCACUAGUCUUUGUAUUGUUAAUGUGUGUGCGCUCCAGGAUUACUUGUGUGUAAAUGCAUCCUCAAGUAAUACUGUCCACUCCCUCAGUUAUUUUGCUUUUUAAACUGAUAGGAGUUAGUUUUCAGUGAGGAAUUCCUGCUUCACUGUUCCAAGUAAGAGCUAAUUGUGCGUUCUGCCUGAGUGCCGGCGAGAUGGAAGGUCAUGGCCAUGAGAGAGCACAUCGGGGGCUAAGAAGAUGCUGCCAGUGUAACUCAUGUUCCCGUACCUGCCUGCACUCCAGGGUGUGUGUUUAUAGAGCAGAGGACGUCCUCCGUUCUGCUUCUGGCCCCUGGGUGGGGGGGCCUUCCACCAUCCGAGGAGAAACAUCCCCAUGAACAUCUCUAUAAGGUUCUAGAGAAGCAGCCGGAGCUCUUCAGGAGAUUCUUGAGGAGAAUGGUGCAUGAUGGGGGGCAGAGGGCAGGAGACAGGUUAGCACAGUGGUGGGGGCAGCCAUUUCCCCAGCCUCUUCAGACAUCCUAGCCGUGUCCUGCUACCUCCAGGGACCGUGGCCGGGCUGUGGUCAGCACUGAUGUCCUCACAGCCAGCACCCACCAGCAGCAGGGAUGCGUCAUGGCCGCCAGCAGGAGCUACCUGCGGGCCAGAGAGAGGGGCCAGCAACCAGCUGUGGUGACUGCAGCUAAUAGCCUGGUUGGUGUUGCCUUCAAGGCCCCCUUUGGAGACUUUAAAGUAUGUUUAGGGAACCUCAAACUAUGGUAAUCUGGGCAUUAAAAAUGAAUGGGGGGGCACCUGGGUGGGUCAGUCGGUUAAGCAUCUGACUCUUGGUUUCGGCUCAGGUCAUGAUGCCAGGGUUGUGAGAUUGAGCCCUGCUUUCAGGCUCCAUGCUGGGUGUGGAGCCCGCUUAAGGUUCUCUCUCUCCCUCUCCCUCUGCCCCCCACCACCGCUCUCUCUCCCUCUAAAAAAAAAAAAAAUGGAUGGUACUUCAUAUUGUAGCCACAGGCUAGUGAAGCCUGGAUGUACCCCGUACACCUAUGAUGAUUAUAAUGCUAAAUUAAAGAGAAGAUUAGCCAGACAAAACAUUUCUUCCCUCUUUAUCCUAAUUUUGAUAGUAAAUACUGACAUUAAAAAUUAAUUCAAUUAGGGGUUCCUGGGUGGCUCAGUCGGUUGAGUGGUUGCCUUCAACUCAGGCCAUGACCCCAGGGUCCUGGGAUCAAGCCCCGAGUCAGGCUCCCUGCUCAGCAGGGGUCUGCCUCUCCUCUCCUUCUGUGCUCACUCUCUCUCUCAAGUAAAUAAAUAAAAUCUUAAAAAAAGUUAAUUCAGUUAAAACUUCACUGAGAUUUUCUCACCUAUGAAAUCGGCAAAAGUCCAAAAUUUGUGGACAUUCUCUGUUGGUGAGACUAUGGAGAAACAGGUCUCAUGAUACAGAAUGGCACGACCAAUUUAAGGGCAAUUUGACAAUAUCUACCCAAAAACCUACACCCACCCUUUAACCUGGCAAUGUCACUCCUAGGAAUUGAUCCCAAAGAUACAUUGGCAAGACUGCACAAGGGUAUUCACUGCAGCACUGUUAGUGAGACCAAGACUGGAAAUGAUCCAAAUGUUCUUCAGUAGGCUGAUGGUUGAAUUAACUAUGCUUGGGCACACAGUGGAGUAUUAUCCAAUUAUAAAAAGAAAUGAAGAGUACCUCUAUAUGCUAUUCUGUAGUGAUCUUCAGGAUAUAUUGUUAAGUGAAAAAAAGCACAGUGGAGAAAAAUGUGGGUAGUAUCCUACUAUUCAUCUAAAGAAGAGGGAGACUUCUCCAAAUAAACCUUCCUUUGUAGAUUUGCAUUGGAAACCAUGAUAAUAUUUUACAUAAUUUUAAAACAAAUUAAAUUUAAAAAAGCAAUCCCCAGGGGCGCCUAGGUGGCUCAGUCAGUUAAGUGUCUGACCCUUGAUUUCGGCUCAGGUCAUGAUCUCAGGAUCAUGAGAUCGAACUCCGUGUGGGGCUUUGUGCUGGGUGUGGAGCCUGCUUCAGAUUCGCUCUCUCUCCCUCUACCUCUGCCCCCCCGCGUCCCCCCACCUCCCCACUUACGCACAAGCGUGCAUUUUUUUCCCUCUCUCUCUCUUAAAAAAAUAAAAUAAAAAAUAAAAAAGCAAUCCCCAAAUAAUCAAGACCAAAAUGAAACAAUGCACCUAACUGUCCAUCAUGUUAGUGUCAUAACUACACAGGCACAGUUUUAAGUGAUUCUAUAACAUGAUAAUUUGACUGUAUAUCCAUAAUGGGCUACUGCCUAGGCCAAGAAAAAAAAAACUUCAAAAGAAAAAAAAUUAAACCAUUUUCAGUAUCAUAUUUUUGGCAUAAUUACGUUGGUGUCAUUGGGAACUGGGAUUUUCAGGAUGGAAGAAAAGAGAAACCCGUAUAAGAUGGAUAAGAUUGAGUAAAGACCCUAUAGUUUUCAAUUUGAGUGAGAAAUACCAGUAUGCAAUCAUAUUCAACUCAUUUUUUUUAAUCUUAAAAAGUUAAUUUCCUAACUCUAUCCAUGAAAAGGCCAAAAACAAGGAGCAUUCCAGUGGCAGUAAGCAGUUUGUGGUCUCUAAAUAUUUCCCACUGAAGGAAACCAGGCUCCUUAAAGAAACAAUGACUCCAGAGAUGGGACAGGAAAAGUAUAAGAUGAACCUGGAGCAUUUUGUCAUAACCAGAUGGCAAGGAGGUUAUCAAACACGUAACCAGGAUCAUGUCAAAAGCACUCAAGGUCCAACUUGAGAGGGCCCACGCGGUUUGAAGAUGGACAAUCUGAGGAUUAGUACGAUUAGUGUCCACAAGAGAGUAAAACACUUCAAGUGUGUGUAAAUCUUGAAUUCCUAAUGAUAAAAAAUAAAACAUCCAUUGGCCGGGACGUCUAGGUGGCUCAGUCCUUAAGAGUCUGCCUUCAGCUCAGGUCAUGAUCUCAGGGUCCUGGGACUGAGCCUUGCAUUGGCUCCCUGCUCCAUGGGGAGCCUGCUUCUCCCUCUGCCUGCCGCUUUCCCUGCUUGUGCUCUCUCUGUGUCAAAUAAAUAAAUAAAAUCUUAAAAAAAAAACCACACAAAACAUCCACUGGUCAACUUUUGAGGGGUAUUAGGUAACCAAGUAAUUAUUUUGAAAAGUGCCUGCUAUAUAACCAAAAUGUUUGUGUCCUCCCAAAAUUCAUGUGUUGAAACCUAGUGCCCAAUGUGAUGGUAUUUGGGGGUGGGGCCUUGGACAGUACUUAUGUCGUGAGGGUGGAGUAAUUGUGUCCUGAAUGGGACUGGUGCCCUUCUAAGAGACUCCAGGGAGCUCCUGUCCUGCUUCUGCAAGAUGGCCGUCUGCCAUCCAGGAAUGGCCUUCCCAGACAUCGAAUCUGCCAGCAUCUUGAUCUUGGAAUUCCCAGUCUCCAGCACUGUGAGAAAUAAAUUUCUCUUGUUUAUAAACCACCCAGUUUACUGUAUUCUGUUGUAGCAGUCCACAUGGAUUACAAGACUGGCAAAUAAAAGGAAGGUCUCAAGCACCAAUCCUGCCUUUCCUAUAGGGACUGUAUUCGGGGACAGUCAAAUCCUUGAUUUGGGGGAGGUUUCUCUUUAAAGAAGUAAUCUAGAUGAUACAUAGAUAUAUCGUGCUGCACUACCAUUUUGCAGUCCCUAAUAAAAAGAUGGAUCCAGGUCACCAUCAUCAAAAAAAGAGAAACAAGCAGACAUUUGCCGUAAUCUUACCCCCAAAUUCCACACUGAAUCUGUGAUGUUCUGACAGCUGACCUAGUAGUGUCCCUGGUCCAGCCUCCAGAGCAGAUGAGCUCCAGGGCAGUGUGUCUGAGGUUAAGAAGGGAGAAAAAAAUCAUUUCCUCCCUCGUUCAGAUGGUUACUGAGAAUGCACCACCUGUCGGGCACUCUGCUGAAUAUUUGAUAUAUAGCACCUCAUUUAAUCUCUACCAGAACCCUAUGAGAUACGUAUUGAUAGUCCCAUUUUACAGGUGAGGAGUUAAAGUGGCCAAGUUGAGAUUCAAACCCAGGUCUUUCUGACUCCAAAAUCUGUGUUUCUGGCACAACUUUAUAUGUAACGUGGACACUCUGCCUGCAUCAAAUUAUGUGUCACGGAUCUGACAUCCCCGGUCCGUCUUCCAGUGAAGAUCCUCGGGAAAGCUACUGCCCCGGGAGCAUGGCCGAACUAGCCCUGCCUGAUCCGCCCCUGGCCCAGUGAUUAGCUGGGCUGGCCAGUCACUCUGAGGUCACGUGGACGCAGGAUUUCUGGGCCACUUGAAAGAUAAAACCCGAACACGGGAAGCAGCAGAGGAGCUUGGGACAUGAAAACCAGUCAGCUCCUAAAAAUCUGCGGUGGGCCUGGGGCGGGGGGGGGGGGGGAGACGGCUGAGAGAACACAGCUGCUGCCCCCUCCACGCCGAUGUAGAGCCCACAUUGGGUGUCCCCCCUGUGGUCCACAGCAGGAAGGGCCCAUCCGCCCACUCCCUUGCUGCCCUGGGAGCUUCUGGGCACUUCCCAGGAAAAAGAAUGUGUCUGUCGACUGCUUUAUUCCAAAACUCCACAAAGCCUUUUAUCGAUAUGUCAAAUGCUGGAAAAUAAAGAGAUAAACCAAGCCUGUGAACUUCUUUCUGCUCCAGACACAUUGGCUUUGUUUGGAUCCAUAACCAUGCUGUGCUCCUUCUCACCUGGAGCAUGCGGGGCGGAGGGGGGGGGGCGCCUCUGCAUGGAACCCCCUUCCUUCCCUCUUAGUGGCCUAACUCCUAGGGCUCAGCUUACUGUCACUUGCUUGGGAAAAACGUGUGAGCUCCUGGACCAGCUCCCACCCUCCCAUCACACACCCUGGACUCUCUCAAAUGACUUAAUUACCCCUGCAAUUCAAAAAUGAUGUAAUUACUUAUUUACAUUCUUCCUCUCUUGAUGAUGAGCUGCAAGCAUCUGGAUCUGGUUUCCCAGCUUCUACUUAACCACAGUCCCUCCAGCAUCUCCCAUGGAGGAAUUGAAGGCAGGCUUAAAUCGCAAGUCUCAGGUGUGGCUUAAGCCAGAGUCUGACAUCACCUUGCCUUGGAGCAGCAGGCCCUGGACACAUCACCAAAGGACCUACAGAGUACCUGGGUCACGGGAGGUACUGCCCGAACACUCCACCGGAUGACUGAUGUUGGAGACCUGCCUGGUCGUCCGGGUCAUGGGGCGCACAAAGAGUUUCCGAGGUUGUAGCCAAUAUUUUACUAUUACAACCAUUGCUGCAAGGAAAUCCCCAUUGCAAGUUCCUACGUGCCCUCCUUCAAGGGUUUCUUAAGAUGUGUAUGCCGAGCUAGAAUGGCUGGUUGAAGGGUAUCAGUAUGUCAAGAUGCCAGGGACUUCCACAUUUCUCAUCAGUGCUUGGUACUGUCAGGCUGCUUACAUGGUUGCCAAUCUAAUGGGCUAGAAACCGCCUUUCCCUCUGUUUCAUUACCCUUCUUCCCAUGAUCGCCUGUGAAUCUAAGCCACACGCUGUUUUGUAACUGCUUUGUGCACCUAAUGCAUCUUGAACACCUUCUCAACAUACAUAAAUACUCUCGUGCAUAAUUUUAAAGCAUAGUGUUUUGUAUGCCAGUGCCACUGUUUAUGUAGCAAAGGGCCCACCAUCGGGCAUUUACACGUACGUUCCCGAGAGUUUGCCGUUACAAUGGCACCCAGGAGCUCUUGCAGCAGAGUACCGAAGAGGGCAGACUUCUGCGUCAGCUAAAACCCGGCGUUGCCUCCAGGACCCACCACUUGCCAAUCCUGCAGCCCUGGGCAGGCCCCUUGGAGGGAACCAGACCACCAGUGCCCCGCUGGGGUCUCACGGGGCAGUAGGGCCCCUGACGCCAGCUACGGUCUGAAUCAUGAGUCUACCAUUUACCAGCUGUGCACCCUGAGGAAAGUUCUCCAACUCUCUGGACCUGUUUCCUGUGUGUAAAAUUGGACAUGAUAAGAACAGGACCCAGCUCAGAGGGUCGUUGGAAGGAGGAGGCGACAUAGUGGAUGAUGGUUUCAGCCCAGCCUGGCGUACAAGGGUAUCUAGCAUCCUUUAGGUGCCCGCCCUUCAAUCUAAUUGGAAUAAAAUGGAAUUGGCACCGAAAGGGACCAUCAUGGCCACGUCUGAUUUGCCCAGAUGGAGAAAGUGAAGCUCGGAGGAAUUAGCGAUUGGCCCAAGGUUGCACACUGUGUUGCUGUCAGGUCAAUUUGUGGAAACACCAGGAGAGGGCGGCCCCCGGGGGCUUUCUCGGGCGCCUCCUGCCGAGUCACGAGAGGAAAGCCGGAAGGCCAAGAAUCCGUGAAGUCUCAUUCCGUCUACGCGCUCCUUCCAUGGAGUCCCAGGAUGGUUCUCCCAAGGGAUGGCCCCGCAGACACUCUGGGGCUGCAGAUCAGCUCCAGGGCACUGCAAGUGGGUGCUAACCUGCGGUUCCGAGCAUCUCAUCACCAAGCUGGGGAUGCCAGCGCCGGGGAGGCACAAUGCUCUGUGCUCUGCUCACUGCCAGGAAACGGGGGGGCCUGAUCAGUGACUGUGGCCACUAAUAAACCAAAAGCUCUAAUUGUCUGUCAGAGAACCCCCGGGGGGUGGAGGGUGGGCAUGGGCUAAGAUAUGCAAGUCGCUGGGCAGCAUGUAACCCUUCGUGACCCCAAACAUCUUGUCGCUGUUCCCGUGAUUUGUUAUCUCACCUGGAGCAGGCUGGGGCCACCUCACCUCGUGGCUGCUCGGCCUGGGCCAGGCCAGACAGCAGGGGCGACAGGCAGGGGGCCGCAGGGGACACUGCCACAGCCUGGACACACAGAACCGCAGCGGGAGGUCUUUACUCUCCUGCCCCUUUUCUUUCUCUGUUCCCUCCUGGAGUAAGUCUUGGGCUUGCGUCACUGAAGCACAAGACAGGGACAUUUCUAAAAGGCAAUAAAUACCGUUUUCCUCUCAGGGUAAAUCUUGGGUAUCAAGAUUAUCCAAACAUAGGAAUAUAACCAAUGAGAUUUCUGGAGAUUCUUCUCAAUCCUACGUCUACGAUAUCUAAGAAGAUAUUCUAAAACUUUCUAAACCACUAGACAUCUCAAUCCCUGUCAGUGCCUUUCCCCAUAGUCACAAUAAUGACAAGUGCUGGGACUCUUAUUUUGAUUAAGCUGAGAAAGUCUCUCCCUUUCAGGACCCUUCUAGAAGAAAAAAGAACACGUACAUAUAAAAAAUGUGUGUGUAUAUAUAUAUAUAUAAAAUUGAUUUCAUGUAUAGAUUCUAUUAUAUAUAUGUGUGUAUAUAUGUAUGUAUAUUUAUUUAUGUAUUUAUCUAAUUGUUUCAUUAAGAAACUCUCUGGAUUCGAAAGCAACUUCGGAGUGAUUGCUAAAAAUACAUUAAAAAGCCAACAUGUUUUAUGUGCCCACACUAAGUUUGCAAUACUUUCUAAGCUAGUCCAGUUGAGAGUUGCAUCCCAAACCAGAGUUGGGAAGCUUGAAAACAGAGGGCAGGUGGCCAUGGCGCUGGGGCCCAGUCCUGGGGAGGCCAGAGCGGACGGUGACACAGAGGUCGGGGGCAGAGGCUGACCCUGGUGAGGAGGAGGGAAGGAGUCAGGUGACCUUCGGAUGAGAAGCUUGUCUCCAGGGAGCAGGAAGCUAAGGCAGCUAAGUCCAUGGCCUCAAAUUUUCUUCCUGUAGAGACUGAGCCGGGUUCCGGCACCUCUACCCUGUAGCUGGUGAGGGGGAGGAAGGAAGCUUCCAAACACAUGUGACCAGGCUUUGGGAAAGUACUGGGGAGUGCAGGAAAAAAUCCUCUGUUCCCUCUCCCAUGCAGAGAGGUUCUGAUUCUCCCUCCCGUGACUCUGAGCUGGACUCGGUGACAAGUGUGACCUGUGGAUUGUGGCAGAGGCGACGUCACCUAACGCCGGAGGCUUGAUCAGAAGACAUGUGCCUCGGUCUUCUUGAAGACUCGCUCUGGGGGAUGUCAGCCGCCACAGAGGCCAUGCCACCCCCUGAGACUGCCAUGCUGGAGAGGCCCCACUGAGGGUCUCAACAGUCCCCGCGAGCCCAGCCGUGCAGCUGUCCCCCCCGCCCCCGAGGCACCAGCCAAGUGGGUGAAGCCAUCUGGGUCCCUCCAGACCAUGCGGUGGUUGCACCUACCUGACCUUAGUCAACGUCACAUGAAGAGAACUGC